rnacentral:misc_RNA from 1 species
GAUGAAGAACGCAGUGAAAUGCGAUAAGUAAUGUGAAUUGCAGAAUUCAGUGAAUCAUCGAAUCUUUGAACGCAUCUUGCGCUCCUUGGUAUUCUGAGGAGCAUGCCUGUUUGAGUGUCAUUAAAUUCUCAACUACACUGACUUUGAAUUGGUGUGGCUUGGAUUUGGGGGGAAAAUUGUUGUGGGCUUUUUGUAUAGUCUGCUCCCCUGAAAUUGAUUAGCGGUACCUUUGUGGAACUGUCUACAGGUGUGAUAAUUAUCUACAUCUUAGACAUCUGCUGGAAUGCUGCUUUCUAAACCUUACUUGUAUUGACAAUCUUGACCUCAAAUCAGGUAGGACUACCCGCUGAACUUAAGCAUAUCAAUAAGGGAGGA